rnacentral:misc_RNA from 1 species
AACGCACAUGGCGCCCCCUGGCAUUCCGGGGGGCAUGCCUGUCCGAGCGUCAUUGCUGCCCAUCAAGCCCGGCUUGUGUGUUGGGUCGUCGUCCCCCCCGGGGGACGGGCCCGAAAGGCAGCGGCGGCACCGUGUCCGGGCCUCGCGCGGAUGGGGCUUUGUCACCCGCUCGACUAGGGCCGGCCGGGCGCCAGCCGGCGUCUUCAACCAUUUUUCUUCAGGAUGACCUCGGAUCAGGUAGGGAUACCCGCUGAACUUG